rnacentral:tRNA from 1 species
GGGCAGGUCAGUGACUUAGCCCGAUUCACCUUGCCAAGGUGGAGGUCGCCGGUUCGAGUCCGGUUGCCCG